CGAGUCGACUUGGAGGUUGUUCCCUUGAGGAGUGGCUUCCGGAGCUAACGCGUUAAGUCGACCGCCUGGGGAGUACGGCCGCAAGGUUAAAACUCAAAUGAAUUGACGGGGGCCCGCACAAGCGGUGGAGCAUGUGGUUUAAUUCGAUGCAACGCGAAGAACCUUACCUACUCUUGACAUCCAGCGAACUUGGCAGAGAUGCUUUGGUGCCUUCGGGAACGGUGAGACAGGUGCUGCAUGGCUGUCGUCAGCUCGUGUUGUGAAAUGUUGGGUUAAGUCCCGCAACGAGCGCAACCCUUAUCCUUUGUUGCCAGCGAUUCGGUCGGGAACUCAAAGGAGACUGCCGGUGAUAAACCGGAGGAAGGUGGGGAUGACGUCAAGUCAUCAUGGCCCUUACGAGUAGGGCUACACACGUGCUACAAUGGCGCAUACAAAGAGAAGCGACCUCGCGAGAGCAAGCGGACCUCACAAAGUGCGUCGUAGUCCGGAUCGGAGUCUGCAACUCGACU
rnacentral:rRNA from 1 species